rnacentral:lncRNA from 1 species
GAUUGAACCACGUUUUUGGGGAGCAUCCUGCUGCGUUCAGUUUGUGCACUUACACAGGCCUUUCAGGUGAACUAAGUAACCCUGUCCGCGUUGUCCCGUUAUGCCCAAGUGGCCCGACACGAACCGCCACCCGCGUGUCUCUGGGCAUCGUGACCGCGCAUUUCUGCUGCUGAUCGCGCCCAAAUGCAGCACAUCGUAUCCAAAAUUUUACACUUCGCUUGAAGGUAGUUCACUGUAUAAAUGAUAGGAGCGCGCGCAAGUGUCACAGUGAAACAGGGAGCAGCUGAGUCUCCGCCUGUACUCGUGCGUAGGGUCGCGAGACAAGUACUUAAGUAGUAAGAGAGAGCGCAAAGGAACAUGCUUUUCUUCCCAAAUAAAGGUCUCCAGAGGAAACCCACUGGGAGAAUAUGGGGCUCCACAGCGACAUAAAAGUGGGCCGGAUUUCAAACUACAACUCUGGAAGCAUGAGGAAACAGCACCAUCUGCUGAGCCACUGUGCCACUUGUUCAGAAGUUCUAGCUACAAAGAGGUCACGGUGAAUCGGAGCCUGACCCGGCAACACAGGACACAAGGCCGGAGGGGAAGGGGACACACCCAGGACGGGACGCCAGUCCGUCGCAAGGCACCCCAAGCGGGACUCAAACCACAGACCCACCAAAGAGCAGGACCUGGUGAAGUCCUCUGCACCACCGCACCCCCCAGUGCUAAAAUAGCUUUUUAAAAAAUCAUUUACUUCAAGGCUGACUCCUAUAAUAUACAUAUUUUAAAGUGAUUAAUUAAGGUAAAUAAGUGACUAGGAUGACAAGAAUAGCAAAAGUUUUGUCUGGUCUAGUGUUUAAUAUAUAACAUUUAACUCAGUUGACACUAUUCUCCAGAGCACUAUGGGUUAUGUGGCAAAAAGUAAGAUUGUGAGCCAUUCCUCUUAGCAUCCAAACUACAG